UACAGAGGUCUCAACCGUUGUUCGGAUUCAUUGGGCGUAAAGGGUGCGUAGGCGGUCGUGCAAGUCGGAUGUGAAAUCUCAGGGCUCAACCCUGAAACUGCAUUCGAUACUGCGCGGCUAGAGUGCUGGAGGGGAGACUGGAAUUUACGGUGUAGCAGUGAAAUGCGUAGAUAUCGUAAGGAAGACCAGUGGCGAAGGCGAGCCUCUGGACAGCAACUGACGCUGAGGCACGAAGGCCAGGGGAGCAAACGGG
rnacentral:rRNA from 1 species